AGUGACUAUAAUUUAUUAUAAUAUGUAAAAUUGUUUAUUAUAUUAGAUAAUUAAUUUAUUGAUUUAUAUUUCAGACUGCAUAAGUAAGUUAACAUUAUAAACAUUAUUUCAAUAUCAUAUAAAUUAUUAUAUUUUUAACUACGAUAAUACAUUACAAUUUUAGAAUAAAAGUUAUUAAACUUGUAAACUCUAAAAGUAUCAAAAGCACUUGUACUUUUAUUUUUAAAAUAUUUAUUGAAGUUUUGGUUAUAAAUAUAGGGUCCAGGACAAAUGGACGCGAGAGUCAUUUGUAAACAACAUAUAUGACAUAUUAUGAUAAAAUAAUUAAAUAGGCAUUAUAUAAUUUCUUUAAUAAUAUUUGUUUAAUAUACUGAUUUUCCGGUUUUUCUUACGUUUUUCCCGGUUUUUCUCAUUUUAUAAGAAAAUUAUUGGGAAAAUGACCCAUUUAUAGUACCUCCCCACACUGAUUUUCUUUCGGAAAGGUGCUACAUUUAAAAAUCGGAGCAAGAUUUAUAAUAGAAAAAUUGCGCACAGAUAAAAAAAAAAAAAAUCUAUGUAAAACCAUUCACUCCACUCAGAAUCUAAAAUAAUACACAUGUAAAAAUAUGAAUAAAGUUAGCAUGUGGGUGCAGCAACUAUUGUAGGUGGGAAGUUAAGAAGUUAGGAUAUAGAAGGGAAUUUAAUAUAUAUCUGUAAGCAACGAUAACUCAUUGCUAACGAAAAAACGAUACUCAACGCAAUGUCUUUUUUUAUAUUUUUGCAGCGUUUCGGGACAAAAAAUCAGAAUGUUAUUACAUCGUGUUAAUGUAUUAAAAAAUACGUACCUAGUAUUAUCAAUUUGGUGGGUUUGCGGGAUAAGCGUACGUGUGGUAAAGAUAUUAUGGUUUACCACUAAAGAGGUUGUAUGGUUGCAUGUCUCAGAAAGUUUCAUUUUUGACCAAAAUCAACACUUAAAAACGCUAUAGAAGUUAUGCACCGUCAAGAUCAAAACACAUAGAAUGCUAUAACAUGUCGUGCCAAUCAACGUGUUAACCUAAAUAAUCAAGUUUUCAUCAUUAUCUCGAUUAUUAAUGAGAAUUUCAAAAAAAAAAAAAAUAACUUUUUUAAAGUACCAGUCAGAAAACAUUUAUUUUUAGAAAAGGUGCUAGUAUAAAUAUAUGGUACUUUAUAAAGUGUCUUCAUAUAAUUCAAGCCUGUCAAGAUUUGUAUUGCCUACAAUUAGAAGGAAGAAAAAGCCUUUCUAAAAAAUAAAAAAAUAUGAGUAUAUUGGUUUAGAUUUCAGACAAAAGAAUACUCAAUAUAGUAAAAAAUUACGUUUUUGAGGGGAAUUGCACAACAUAUCUCAUUAAAUAUAUUAUAAUUCUGUAUAUUUUUUAUUUUUAUGGUAGGUUUUUAUACUAAUUUGAAUUUAAUAUUUAUGAGUAUUUUAUUUUCUAUCAUUUGUUUUUAAUACAUAAUAUGUAAUCUUAUAUAUAAAAUUAUCGUGUCACAAUGUUCGUUCUCAUACUACUCCGAGAGGCUUGAUCGAUUCUCAUGAAAUUUUAUAUGCAUAUUCAGUAGGUCUGAGAAUCGGCUACUAUCUAAGUUUGUAUGCUCUGCGAUAAGUGGUUCCGGAGUUUUGGCCUCUUAAGUCAAAGUAUACUAGCACGCACGAUAUUCAACAAUUAUUAUUUUGCCAUGGAGAGAUAAUAUACACUCUAUGUGGUUAUUUUUUAUUUUUGGUUUCCGUGGCACCCGCGUGCCAAUAACAAUUGAGAACGGCUGGGCCGAUUUGGCUUAUUUUGCUAACCUAACCUAACCUAUGUAUGUGUGUGAUGUCUCUUAUGCCUUCCUAAACCGUUCAUCCGAUCGCCACGAAACUGAAAAAUGUAUCAGAUAUUUUUCAUUGCUUAGCAACCGUAUACCUAAUUUAUACAAGUUUGAAAAUAAAAAUAAAUUUAAGGGCAACAACGGUUAACUGCAGUAAUAGUGACGGAUAUUGAAACAAGAAAUCUAGGGGGGAAAUCGUUUUUAUUACACAUUUAUUUGGCACGGGCAACGCCGGGCGGAACAGCUAUAAAAAUUACCAUUAUAUAUUUAUUAUUAUUAUUAUUGUUAUUAUUUUUUUUUGACAUCUAAACGACAAUGUUUAAAUGUCGCUCGCGUCCAUAUGGUAGCGUCCAAUUAAUGUCCCUCGCGUCCAAGUAGCGGCGUCUAUAUGGCCACGUACAUUUGUUCUAGAACAAUAAAUAUAUAAUAUUCAGAAUGAUUUUUUUUAUCAUAAACUAGAAAUUUUUUUAGAGGAUUUUAAAUAAAUUUGAUUACUAGUCUUUUUUUUUAAUUAUUUUGAAAUUGUUUAAGCUUUAUUUCAACAAUAUUUUCAGUUAUCAACCUUAUUCUUUCUUAUCUGAAAUGAGCAUUCAAUUUGGAUUAUUAAAUUAAAGCAACCGCAUUUUUGAAUCAUUUCAAAGAUCACAGAAUAUUUUUCUAGACAUUUAGAAUAUUACACUAAUAUUAGAUGUACCGUUUAUGGUUUAUAAUAGUUUAAAUUGUAGACCGAAGCAAUACAGAUGGGUUAAAAAUUUAAUUUCUCUUUUGAAAUGAUAAAUAGAUAGGUAACUAUCCCGUUCUUAACAUUAAACUGAUAUAAGUUAUAACUUAAAAAUUUAAUAUAAUCUAAUACACUUCAAAAUGUCUAUAAAGAUAUUUCCUGUUUGAUAAAAUAAUCUUCUGUACACAAUAAACAUACAUUAAAUUGAAGUGUCUAUCUGUUAUGGUUGGUCUCUGUAACAGCUGAACUUAUUCUAGAUAUACUUUUCCUGCAAAUAAGGAUAUUUCUCAGACUAAUUUUUAUUCUAGUAUUCUACUCUUAAAAGAUAAAUUCCUGAGUUUAAGUUCAUUUAGUUUCUUAAAAACAUUAAUUUAUUCAUAAAUUAAACAAGUUCAAAUUACUGUAUAGAAAGUUUAAUAGCUGACAACAAACACGUCUGUCAUCAUUCAUUACUUAUAUCAGUGCUUAGGUACUUUUUUGAGUACUGGGCUAUAGAUACUGAAAAUAUUAAUUUUUUAAAUCGUUACAUUUUAUAGACCAAAUUAAAGCCACUGAUCUUAAAAGUAAGUAAUUACUUUAAAGUUUUUGAAGUCGAUUAUAGUUGGUAAAUACCAAAUAUAUUCUACUGUUAUAUUUGUAUCAUGAAUUAAGAUAUAUAAAGAUAUAUUAAGGUAUACAGGAUCCAACCGUAUUAUCAGUAAAUCAAAAACAUUCUUAAUUUUAAACAAAAUACUUGGCGCAAUCUUAUGUAAUAUGUAUGAAUUAUUAAGGUAACUAUUUUAAAUUAAAUCGUGCUAGGAUAAUAGCAAAAUCGCGAUAUCUGAUAAUACUGACAAUAGUUAUUUUAAUUUUAUUUUUUUUAAAUUUAUUUUAAAAAACGGGCCAUAGCCCAAAUACAGAAAAACUUCACAUGCUGGCUUUAUAUAAAAAUCACAUAAGCAAAUUGACAGUACUACAUGAUUACAAUACUAAUUUACAAAUAAACAGAAAUGACAGGUUCUCGUUGGCAAUGCGCAUCAUCCUAGCCAUUGGUUGAUUACGCGAGUAGUUGAUGGUGCAGUGUUUAAUGGCGAAAGGAUAAGAUGAUUGAGACCAGAGGUAAGGCGUUCUAAACAAACCUGGCUAAGUAACGGAGGACAGUUUAUCAUUUCCUCAUUAUGCUUCUCUAAGAACAGUUGGUUAGUAAUUCUUUACCUAGGGAUCUUUGCCAGGGAUUGCAGACAAAACGCAUUCAACACCAAAUCAUACUUAUGCGACUAGUGGUCAAUUUUUAGCAAAUAAGCAGCAAAGCUCAAGAAUUUUUACUGGACUCUCUUUAUAUGAACUCUAUUUUCCCUGUGUGUGGACUCCAAAUGACUACACCAAAUUCUAGAAUCGAAUUAACAACAGCACAGUAUAGGGCUUUUAGAAGAGUAAACAAUUUAAAUUGUUGCAAAUUCGCUUUAAAAAUCCGAGCGUUUUUAGAUUUGCAGCAAGAUGCUUCGAUGUAGGCCUGGAAGUUUAGAUUUUAAUCAAAUAAAAUCCCAAGAUCAUUGACUGAAUUACCCAGAAUAAUAAGGACGGUACUAGAUAGACAGUACGAGAAUACUAGAGGACUAUGUUUUCUACGAAAUGGGAUUGAGCAGCAUUUGGCAACAUUAAACUGUAGUCCGAUAUUAUUAGCCCACCCAGUCAAAGCAUUCAAAACACUUUGUAAUAAAUUAUUGCAAUUAGGCAAUCAUUUACAGUACGUACUUUCACAAAUAAUUUCGAUUUCGAUAAGAAUUCCGAUUUUUUCAUUAAGCAGUUUUACCUGGGAAGUUAAAGCGGCUUUUUCUUCCUUGAUCAAGCUCAACUCAAUAGAUUUAUUAUCAAUUACAGAUGCAAAGAAUUUGUGGCCAGCAACACAAUAAUAAUCGAUAUAGUAUACAUGAGUUCAAUAACAGUAAUACAGAGUACGAGUAACUAAAAGAUAAAUGAGCUCGUAGCUCGUAGCAACGAAAAUAUGGCACGUCUAUUGAGGCUUAAGGUUAAGACUGUAUUGUAAAUACAAAUGGUUUUAGUUUGUUUUCAUAUCACUUCUAUUUUAAAGCACUAGCUGUCUCGCCACACAGUAGGACCUACAUACUUCAAGAAAAAUACUAAUGAGACGCUUUGUUUCAUAUCCUGUUAGUACAUCUCAAUUCAUGAUUUGUACAGACAUAGUUGAUAAAAACCUUUAUUUAAAAAAAAAUUUGCUAUUAUUGAUUAUAUACUUUAUUGUGACGUCAAGUAUUUUGUUUAUAUUGGAAGUACGUUAUGUGUUUUUAUCUACCUACUUAUAUGUUAUAAUGAUCCUAAUUAUUUUAUACUUUUUCUAGGUGAAUCGGGAUUAAAUAAUUUUAUCAAAUCAUAUUGGUCGUAUAGUAAGUUAUAUAAGAUAAAUAAUAAAUUUUCUUAACUUGUACUUAGACAUGGAUAACAAAUUAAAAAUCCAAGAAGUAUUUAAAUACCUACGUUACCUAACGUACCUAAGUUACCAAGAAAAGCUAGAUUUGGAAAGUUGGCUUAAUUUCCCACUUGGGUUUAGAUAAAAAAAUAUCUUACUCAUAUAAUAUAUUAAUAAUUACUAUUUAAUGCAUGCUGCAUCCCCUUUCAUUAAAGAUAUUUUCUAAGCUUGUCACUUUUAAUUUAUAUGUGAAUUGACAGUAUGAUAAUUUAGUAGAAAUCAUUCUAAACUAUAUUCAAUGCAUUUAUUAUAAAUUUGUAAUAGAUAACUUUAUUUUUUAGCACAAAACGACCCAAAAGAAUUGAUUAGUAAGUUUUAUUUAAAUUUAUUAACACGAUCAGACAUUUUUUUUUAAAUACUUAAAGUAUUACAAACCAUAGAUUAAUAUUAUAUGGAAAUAACCAUUAUUUACAACUCAUUUUAUAAUUCAUUUAAUGAUUGGUCAAAUUUAAUAUCUGUUUAAAUCGCACUACAACAUUUAUUUUAUUUUAUACGGGCGUGACUCACCCGUAGUAGUAAUUCAAUAAAUUAGCACGUAGGCAAUUCAGUGGAAGUGAAAAACGGAACCAGGAAUUUAAGUAUUUAUUGAGCAGGUAUUAGUGUAAGAACGAAGGGUGGACGUGAGAAAGACGUAUCAUGCUGUCUAUAAGAUCGCCCAAAACUAUAUUUGAUAGUGUGCAAAGGGAUUGCAAAAGUGUUGGUAGAGCAGGUCAGACGUAGAGGGACUCGAAAGUUGAUGAGGAAAAGGAGAGAAGGUGCGUCCACAGAACCACCAAUGAGGUUACGAGGGUAAUGUUAACUUUUCUAUUGGCUAGCGUUGGUAAACCAAGCACGUGGAGAACAGAAGAGUAUUUAUGUAACAGGUGGGAGAUAUUCCAUGGCCAGCAUAGGACAGAAAACGUCUUUGAACUCACUCGAUAAUUGCAGAGUCGGAGUCUGUAAUGGGAUCCUACGAAAUUUAAUCAUACUCAAGCAGGGGUCGCAUUAAGAAACAGUAAAGUCUUCAGUGAAGAGGUAAGCUUGAAGUCAGACGAUAUUCGUCUUACGAACCCUAGAGUCUUAUACGCCUUACAACUUAUUGAUUGGAUAUAAUAGAUAUGAUAGUAGAAAUCAAGGUCAGAAGAUAAAAAAAACCCUUACAUUUUUUUUAUGAUACAAUAUUAAUAUUGUUAAUCGAGUAGGUGUGGCUAAUUAAAGUAUGAGAUCUAGAGAAAGACACAGACUGGCACUUGUUCACGUUCAAAUUAAGAUCAAUAGCUUUGACAGUCGGAGUCUUUAGUAAUUCGCCAGAGUAUUUUUAGGUCGUCUGUAAAAGCUGGGAUAUCGUAAUUAGGAAUUAUUUGCUUGCUGCCGUUAAUAAACAGGGAAAAUAUUACAGGUGAAAGGUGGCCUUCAUAAGGAACACCUGAAGGAAUAAAAGAGACAUCAGAUUUACAUUCAUUAAUUUUCACCCAUUAUUACCUACCUUAUAGGUAUGAUUCGAACCAAAUUAAUAGUGGAUCAUCAAAUUCAAUCUAACUAGGUACAUAGAGUAAAAUGAUGUGAACAACUCUGUAAAAAGCUUUUUCAAAUUCCGUAAAUAUAACACCAACCAGGCACUUACUUUCAAAAUCUUUGAGAAUAAAAUUAUUGAGGACAAAUAAGUUCAUCAUGGCUGAGCGUUCUGGCCUGAAGCCAUACUUUCUGUCAAUAGGAGUCGGGCUAACUGAAGGCAGGCAGAAUAUUUUAGAGUACGAGUUUUACAAAAAGCUUUGGAAUAUGGCCUAAAAUAGAAAUUGAUCUGUAAUUCCUGACACAUGAUUUAACCCCAGAUUUAAAAAUGAGGGUGAUGGUGCUUAGUUUCCAGAUGGAUAGACAUAUCUCAUCGUCUAAUGAAUAUCUAAAGGUUUGUCAGAGUAGGGCGGAAAAAAACGAUUUAAGGUUUAAAAAGAAGGUUCCUGGAAGUCCAUCAGGUUCUGUAGAAUUCACGUUUUUUAAUUUAUCAAAACCAGACUUUAUACCAGCAAUACUAAAAAAUCAAUUAUUAGGAAGUUUAUAAUACUGGUGAAGAAAAUUAAUUUUACUCUUGAACAAGGAAACGGAGUAGACUGAGUUAAAGAACUAAGACAAUAGUUUAAUAACUAUAGGCCUAUAUUAUGAAUGAGCAGUUCUGAUGGUAUGUAUGAACAAAAUUUGCUAUCAGUCUAGUAAUCACAAACCUUUUGAAAAACCCUUCAAAUAUUUAGGAAAUCGUUCUUAAAUAUUCGAAACUUGAUAUACGUUAAAUAUUUGACCGUGUGAACCCGGCUUUAUAUAAUUUCAUAAUCCAUGAUAAAUGACUAUCAAUUUAAAAUAUUAUUUUGUUAUUUUAAAAUAUUUUGUUUAUCAAUAUAAUUGUUUGUGCAUGUUUUUUUUUUUUUUUUUUUAUCAAAAAAAUAAAAAUGAAUUUUAUAAAUAUAUUCUAUCUACUUAAAUUAAAAAAAAAAAAAAUAAAUUUUUAGAAAAGUUGAUCUCAAAAUACGAGUGUUAUACCAGAUGAUAAAGAAAUAAAUCUAUAAUGUGUAUAUUAAUAAAAUUAUUUUUUUUAAGCUUUUAACAAUUAUUUUAUAACUAAUGAUAACAAAUUAAUUAUCAUGCCAAUUAAAAUGAUAAAUAAAUUGUCAUGUUUUUGUUUUAGUGUACCCACUGAAGUAUUACACCCAUCUUAUUACCAGGUUAUCAAAAUGUAUGUAAUAAUAUAGUGUAAAUCAUUUACAUAUAUUGGGUGUAUUAAAUAUAGCCAUAAUAAUAUAAUGAUACUUUUAUUUUAAAGGUGCGUUUAGCUUUAGACUGUAGCCUAAAUACGAACGGACGAAAGAACGAAUGACUAUUUGCAAAUGACUUAAUAUGUCGUUUCAAACGUAAACUAACAGCUUUUGCUCCAAGAUAAUGAUAUGAUCGAAUGUCUACUGAAUUCACUUCGUAUUCGUUCAUUCAUUCAUGUUCAUUUGUUCAGGCUCAAGUUUAAAUGUACCUUACUAAUAUUCAAUACUGGCAUACUGGCUGUCCUGCACUACAUUUUCUGUGCAGAGUAUUGAAAAAUAUUUAUAUUAAUAAUACAAAUAUUUAACGAAUUCAUAAAAUUAAUUUUUGUGUUUAAUACUCACCAUUCUAAUGAUACGAAUGAUUUGUAAUAAUAGUUCCAAUUUUGAGCCCAAUCAACUGGUGUCGAAAAA